rnacentral:lncRNA from 1 species
UUUGUAAGUGUAGCUUUAACAACUAUAAUAAAGAUAUGUAUAACACAGACUUUUGGCAGGGCCUAGAACAGUGAUUGGGUUGCCAUUGUACUAUUCAUUUCUCCCCAGUUAACGAGGAUGUUUACCUGUUUUUCACCAAGCAUGCGUCCUGUUCCAGAUUUCUAAUCUUGCUGAGGUAAAUAUUGUAUGUUGUAACCGAAAGAAUCUUGCUACCAAGUACACGGAUGAGGAGUACAGAGAUGUCUCCAUUUCUUUUACCAAAAAACAAACACCUCCAUGAUCCACUUUGUGGUGGACCCUUUGUUGAGUAUAAAUAUUGAUGAAAGAGAGUAGCUGUGGAAACAAAAAAAAAAUAAAAUUAUUAAAGGGUAUGAACUUAACAACUUGAAGUUGCAAGAGCAU